AGAAACAUGUCUUUCAUUCAGCUGUUCUCUGACCUGAAUGCUAAUGAAUGAUUACAGGCCAGAACAUCAGAGAAGAAGAUCAGCGUAGAGCACACACCCCUUUCUUCAACAGAAUUAAAGCCCUGGUUGGUGCUGCAUUUUUGUCAGUGUACAUGGUGCAGGAUGAAUCCUGUGUCAGAGGCAACAGCUGAAUCUUGGGGAAGUGAAGACCUCACACAGGUUGCGCUUUCCUGUACUAGAAAUGGACUUAAAUCCUAGAAAUGGAAAAGAAACCAAACCAACCAAGCCAAAAUGCUAGAAGCAAGUACAAAUUUAAUUAAGAACUGACACAUUAAUUUUUGCUAUGUUUCAACAUGAAAUAGAAUAGGUUUUGGUUGAGAUGAGGCAUCUGUGCUGAAUCAUGCCCUUGCCUGCUUAGAUGUAAGGGGAAAAAAAAAUAUGCCUUUUGACCUUGCUUUUUUUGAAGAUGGUGUUAAUAUUGCCUGAAUCAAUGUUCUCUCUCCAUGAAUAGUUAUUUCACACACUUUACAGAGAUCCAGCAUUUAUAUUUCUAGAAGCUAUAACAGCCUAUCUCCAAACUUUAGAAAUGACAGAUAAAAGGAAAUCUUUUAAAGUUGCUUACUGUUUUGCAGGACUCAAUUCUUUUAUGGCACAAUUUUUUUUAUUUAUCAAAAACAUAGUUGACAUUGCCACAGAAAAAAAAAAGCUGACUGAAAAAAGCAGAUAAAGGACUCAGAGGACAUCCCUGAAGAAAAACCACCAGGCAAUGAGCAUGCACAGGAAGAAAGGAAAUUUUCUUUAAUAUAUCUGCCACUAAUGCACUGCAAAGAAGUGGAUGCACGAAGUGGAAUAAAUGCCAGCAGUUCAUCAGCCAUCACUGAGUAAUAUGGUGCUGAGUGAGCAUCAGCAGCAAAGACAGAAGCAGACAUGAAGGCCUCUGCAUUAUGGAGAGGAAGCAAAAGCCCCCUCUGAUAGCAUCAGUUAGGUAGACAAGUCACUUCCUGAGUGGAAGCUGAAAUCAGAUAUAAUUCUAACAAUGUCCAUCAGGAAAUCACAAAAAAUGUGUGGGAUUCAUUGGUUUCUAAAAAAAAUUGGAUGUUUCUCUAAAUCUCGAAAGGUAAUGUAUAUGGUGUUUGUUUUCAGCAAGUUCAACAAGGAGUAUGACAAAGAUCUUGUUGCCUCCAAACUUAAUCAUGUUCCUUUAUAAAUUGCUACCUGAUGAGCCAUUUAAAUAACUGUGUCCCGAAUUAUUUCCUCUGCUGUCUCUCCACCAACAAUAUCUAAUCUGACUUUGUUUCCUAUGAUUCUUAUCCAGUGCUGCAUUGAAUGUCAACAUGCAGUCCAAAAAUCAAAGUGAACAAAAAA